CAGAGCUUUUAACUCACUGCUGGGGAAGCUUUUUUUCCGUCCAAAUGACUGAACACAGACUGAAGCCACAAUUUACAUUUUGAGGAUCUUCCGAACAGUCGUUGCCAGCUUAGGUUUCAUUACGACUGUCCUGUAGAGUCACAAUAUAAUUCUCUGAGACGGGGCCUGGUGAACCAGGAAACAGAAGAAUUCUUGUAACACAGCGAUGGAGGCAGAGAAAAGGGUGAAUACAGAGCACAAGAGAAUUAUUGGAAAGGGAAUGUGAGAAUCAUCUGAGUAUGUGCCAGGCUCAAGGUGAAGAGAAUCGGAUGAAUAGAUUUACAUGAAAAUGGAUACGGUGGAUAAUAAUGAUCCAGAAUGGAAUGAUACUCAGUGCAGCCAGCAACUGUCAGAUUCAUUCAUUAAAUCAAGGUCAAUAUUGCUGUCUGCCUACUGGCACCGACUUAUUUCCUGCUAAAGAAGAAAUAGCAAUACGUUAUACUGCAAUAACAUCGGCUCAAAUGCAUUUAUUACUGAAGAUAAAAUAACAUCAUUUUUGAGAGCAGAGAACCAAUAAAAUAAUAUAUUAACCA